rnacentral:rRNA from 2 species
GAAACAGUUGCUAAGACUGGAUAGGAAAAGUAAAGGCAUCUUUACUUUUUAAAAGACCUUCUUUGGAGGUAUGCUUAAGGAGGGGCUUGCGACACAUUAGUUAGUUGGCAGGGUAAAGGCCUACCAAGACUAUGAUGUGUAGCUGGACUGAGAGGUUGAACAGCCACAUUGGGACUGAGACACGGCCCAAACUCCUACGGGAGGCAGCAGUAGGGAAUUUUCGGCAAUGGAGGAAACUCUGACCGAGCAACGCCGCGUGAACGAUGAAGUACCUCGGUAUGUAAAGUUCUUUUAUUAAGGAAGAAAAAAGAGUGGAAAAACUCCCUUGACGGUACUUAAUGAAUAAGCCCCGGCUAAUUAUGUGCCAGCAGCCGCGGUAAUACAUAAAGGGCGAGCGUUAUCCGGAAUUAUUGGGCGUAAAGGGUGCGUAGGCGGUUUAAUAAGUCUAUAGUUUAAUUUCAGUGCUUAACGCUGUUGUGCUAUAGAAACUGUUUUACUAGAGUGAGAUAGAGGCAAGCGGAAUUCCAUGUGUAGCGGUAAAAUGCGUAAAUAUAUGGAGGAACACCAGAGGCGUAGGCGGCUUGCUGGGUCUUUACUGACGCUGAGGCACGAAAGCGUGGGGAGCAAACAGGAUUAGAUACCCUGGUAGUCCACGCCGUAAACGAUGAGUACUAAGUGUCGGGUAAAACCGGUACUGAAGUUAACACAUUAAGUACUCCGCCUGAGUAGUACGUACGCAAGUAUGAAACUUAAAGGAAUUGACGGGACUCCGCACAAGCGGUGGAUCAUGUUGUUUAAUUCGAAGAUACACGAAAAACCUUACCAGGUCUUGACAUUUUCUUGCGAAGUUAUAGAAAUAUAAUGGAGGUUAUCAGGAAAACAGGUGGUGCAUGGUUGUCGUCAGCUCGUGUCGUGAGAUGUUAGGUUAAGUCCUAAAACGAGCGCAACCCUUGUCGUUAAUUGCCAGCAUGUAAUGAUGGGGACUUUAACGAGACUGCCAAUGAAAAAUUGGAGGAAGGUGGGGAUUACGUCAAAUCAUCAUGCCCCUUAUGAUCUGGGCUACAAACGUGAUACAAUGGUUGAUACAAAGAGUAGCUGAAACGCGAGUUCUUAGCCAAUCUCACAAAAUCAAUCUCAGUUCGGAUUGAAGUCUGCAACUCGACUUCAUGAAGUUGGAAUCGCUAGUAAUCGCGAAUCAGCAUGUCGCGGUGAAUACGUUCUCGGGGUUUGUACACACCGCCCGUCA